AGCAUCUUGAUCACCAUCCUGAGCAAGGCCAACCUCAUAUGAUCUCAGAAGCUAAGUAGUAUUGGGCCUGGUUAGUACUUGGAUGAGAGUAAGGACUCUUAAAAGAUGUAA
ensembl:rRNA predicted gene, 22093